GUGAUUAUGGACUUUCCGAAUUGAUUUUCCUCUAAGUUCAGUAUGUUUGUGAUUUUACUUUUUUCUAUCAAUAGAAUCUUCCUAAUUCAACAAAAACACAUCUUGGUAUGGCUCUAUGAAGUUAAGUCUUGCAUCAAUCAUCUAUCUUUACCAUUUUCAAAAUUUAAUAGCUUCAAAGCUAAUAUAAAAAACAAAUUAAUUCAUAUUUUAUAGACUUGGGGAACACUGAUUUGUAAAGCAUUCAGAUGGUAAACAUAGAACUUAAGUUACAUUAAAAUCAGUUUUUGGAAGAAAAAAAUAUCUUUCCAUUAAAGGGAAUUUUGAAAAGAGACGAAGCUUAACAAAUCUCGGAAUUUCAUCACAUCACUUAAGAAUAAAGUCCGGGAGGUAUUAGGGUACUCUCAUAAUUUACAGAACUUGUACUUGUUGUAACUCUGGAGAUGUGAAGGAUAAAUAUCCUUUUCUACUCCAAUGUGUUAAAUUCAGUGAUGACCGCAAUCAUCUAUUUCAAGAGAUAACUAAAAGUUGCCCCAACUUUUUAACUCUCAACGCAAGUGAUAAACUGAUAUGGCUUAUGCACAAAGAAGAUCAGUCUAUUCUCACUGCUGCAUGUAAUUUUUUUCGAAAAAUUGUUAACUAUGUGGCUUUCUUGUCUGCUUAAGACACAAGGAGAACUGUGUAAAUACCACAGCUCCUUGAGUACCGCCCAUUGGUGUCUGUUGCAGUAGGGAAACCUACACUAUUCCCAGUACCUCUUACUGCAGUUUAUUUUAUUUGCUGUGAAUAUACAUAAACGUUUUACAUUUGUACUUGUUUUUCUGCAUCAGAUACAAAAAGGAUUGUCAGAGCUUUUAAGAUCACAAUCCUAGAGCAUCGUCCCUUGGUGUCUGUUGCCGGUAAACAAUCAUUUAUAUUUAUACAUUUCCAGCAAAAUAUUAUAAAAUCAAGUGAGAAAAAAAGUAAAUUGAUAUAUAAUAAAAGUUUGCCACAUCUCUGGAGUAGCAACUCCUAAAUACGUUUUCAUUUAACAAAUAAUACCUGUAUCAAUUUAUUUCAAUAGUUUUUUUUCACAAUGUUAUGUAAAAUACUAUCACUUAUAUAUGUUAUGUGUAUAUGCCCCCCUUGGGACCUAAUUGGAAAAUAUAAUUUGUCUUAUUUUAUAUUUAUGUUAUCUAUACAGAUGAUUGCAAUAUAAACGAUAUCACAGACUAACAAGAAGGUAGGUGAAUGGAAUUACAUCAGUGAUUUGCAGUUUAGUUAAGGGUCUCCGGACAUGCUUACCAAGUUAAUAUUGCAAUUAUUGAUAUAGUUCCUACCAUUACGCGAUGUUGUCCUUUGAAAAAAAACAUUAAUAGUUAUCAAAGGUACCAGGAGCAUAAUUAAUUACGCCAGACGCGCGUUUCGUCUACAAGAGACUCAUCAGUGACGCUCAGAUCUAAAUAGUUGUAAAGCCAAACAAGUACAAAGUUGAAGAGCAUUGAGGACCCAAAAUUCCAAAAUGUUGUGCCAAAUACGGCUAAGGUAAUCUAUUCAUGGGAUAAGAAAAUCCUUAGUUUUUCAAAAAAUUCAAGGUUUUGUAACAGAAAAUUUAUAAAAAUGAUCAAAUAAUUUUUAUUCAUGUCAACACCGAAGUGCUGACUACUGGGCUGGUGAUACCCUCGGGGACGAAACGUCUACCAGCAGUGGCAUCGACCCAGUGGUGUAAAUAGUUAUCAAAGGUACCAGGAUUAUAAUUUGUUACGCCAGACGCGCGUUUCGUCUACAAGAGACUCAUCAGUGACGCUCAGAUCUUAAUAGUUGUAAAGCCAAACAAGUACAAAGUUGAAGAGCAUUGAGGACCCAAAAUUCCAAAAUGUUGUGCCAAAUACGGCUAAGGUAAUCUAUUCCUGGGAUAAGAAAAUCCUUAGUUUUUCAAAAAAUUCAAGGUUUUGUAACAGAAAAUUUAUAAAAAUGAUCAAAUAAUUGAUAUUCAUGUCAACACCGAAGUGCUGACUACUGGGCUGGUGAUACCCUCGGGGUAUAAUAGUUAUUGUGUUAGUGAUUAAACCACUUUUAUGAUUUCGCCAGAAGGUAUCUAUGUGUGGGAAUGUUAGAUAAGCAAUGAUCACGUAUGUUUUAAAAUAGGACUAUGAAAUUCCAUCAAACUAUCAUAAUCAUUUUUUUCAAAGAUACUUUAAUUUUCGAAUUACAUUUAUUAUCUCAUGUCAAUGUUUUGGCUGGACGUUUUCAGCGAGCUAUUAAUUUAAAAACCUAUUAAGCAGAAGUUGUAUUGGCUGUCAGCAACAGUAUUGUGUUUUGAUUUUUUUUUAUAGUCGCAAUAAUUGAAAAGAUCUUUAGGCUGAACGUUGGACUUUAGCUUCAUAUAGAUAUAUGAAAACAAAAUGAUUUAAACCAUAUUUUAUAAUUACUUUGUUUUUAACUUAGUGCGGCUUAUAAUUACUCUUAUACUACUACUAUGCAUGGAUCUUUCCUUUUUCGAUAUGUUCAUAUCAAGAUUUGAUAAUCAAAAUUGAUUAACACUGGCGUUAAAUGUUAUCAUAAAUAUCUAUAAGCAGAUUUCAAUGUCACCUUCAGGACUUUGUAAACAGAUUUCAAUGACACCUUCAGGACUUUGGAAAAAUAUUUUAAUGUCCCCUUCAGGACCUUGUAAACAGAUUUUAAUGUCACCUUCAGGACUUUGUAAACAGAUUUUAAUGUCACCUUCAGGACUUUGUAAACAGAUCUUUAUAUCGCCUUCAGGAUUUUGUUAACGAAUUUCAAUGUCACCUUCAGGACUAUGUAAACAGAUUUCAAUGUCACCUUCAGGACUUUUUAAACAGAUUUUAAUGUCACCUUCAAGACUUUGUAAACAGAUUUCAAUGCCACCUUCAGGACUUUGUAAACAGAUUUUAAUGUCACCUUCAGGUCUUUGUAAAUAGAUUUUAAUGUCACCUUCAGGACUUUGAUAAAACGCACAAAGUAUUUCAUGUCCUCAUUUUUAAUAAGAGAACAUAGCAAAUCUUACAAAUUUCGGAUUUUUCAUUUAGUUUUUGAUUUUGGCUUUGUAAACCUAUUUAUAAAGGAUGUAAUUACAUUGUUGUAGAUUUGUGAUAGUCUUAUAACCUAUUACAUCGUUCUUUAGGAGUACAGUGAUUUUACUGUACUGGUUUUAUCGUUGCAUUUUCUUUUGCAUACCAUCCAUGACAUAAAAAUAAGAAGAUGUGGUAUAAUUGUCAAUGACACAACUCUCAACAAGAGACCUGUUGAAGUAUAAAUCCAGUAAUUGCUAUUCAAACGGUCACAAUUGAUGUAGACAGUGUCUUAUGUCAUAUUAUAAUGAUUUGUUGAGUUUUAUUUUGUGGUUUGAAGAUUGUCAGAUGUUUGAUUAAUUUAGAAAAUUGAAAAGUCUAGAGAUAAUUGAAAGCUUGGCAUAUUGUUUCGAUACAUAUCUGUUAUAAGAUACUGCAUUUUGCUCUUUUUUCUGCUCCGUGUAUAUUUUUAUCGUUAGGCUUCUGACUGAUUGAUAUAUACCCAAAAUCCCUUUUCAAUAUCAUCUGUUAUAUCAAUUCGUAACAUGUGAGUUCCUGGACGACUAAAAGCUUGACAUUGUAUAUGUUCUAUUGUUAAGACUGUAAGUAUACCUCUAAAAGUAUUUUUGUUUUGUUUUCGUUUUUUUUUUUUUUUUUUGCUGUUUCAUGGUCAAGCCUGUUUUUAGAACUCUAGAAAACUCUUGUGUUUUGGAGUCUUGUGGUCGAUGUUUCAUUGAUACAUACCCAACGCCUGAGUGUUGCCAAAUAUGAUAUGCUUCAAUUACGACGCUUUUGGUUUUCCGAAGCUAAAUUACUCAUUUUGUUUUGGUUUUUCAUAUUUUGGAAAUCAAACCAACAAUUUGCUUAUCUUUUUGCACGAAUCGCUGUGAAAAAUCAAAUUAUCGUUUUAGACCAAGUACUACCAAUUUACAGCGUAGUAAUAAGAUUUAUGUGCAGAGCUGAUUUUUUUAAAAAGAUUAUUUUACAUUGUUAUAUAUGUUUAACUGUCAAAAUAACUGUCAACAUUGCAAUAAGUGUUCAUGAAAUCACGUUUUGGGCUGUGUUAAGUAAUUUUAUGGAAAUUUAAAUUAAAAUUCACUGUUUGAACAUUAUUACGAAACAGUUAUAUUGCAUAAAAACCUUCACACUCGUGUAUCAGGACAAUACAGUUAAGGAGCUAUGUUUAUAUGUCAAAUUGGAGAAUGAAUAGAAAAAGAAAACUAUAAUACUGUUUUUAUAAUUCGAUUAUACUAACACUCGAGCGACAUUCAAAUAUUUUCUACUUAAACGUGAAAAAAUGGCACUACUUCUCUGCACUAUUUCUCGCCUACGAUUAUAGCGACCACGUGAUCAUUGUACACUGAUAUAGACAAUUGUCUGUAUCUCGAAUUAAUAAUGUAGAUAAAUGUGAGUCAAGUAAUUAAUUCUGAAUUGUUUAAGUAACAUUAUCUUCCUUUGUAAUGGUUCUGACAUAUGAAAAUUAUUUUAUAAUAUCUGUCUCUUCGAAAUAACAUAAAAAAAAUGUUGUGCACAAUUUAAAAUAACCCACUAUGCGGUACAUAGCACAUAUUGAUAUUACUAGUUGCAUUUCGUAUAUGGGAUAUUACAAAUCCAGUUUUUGAGUGUUUUUCAGGAUUAUAUAUUAACUUCCAAAAUGUGAAAAACUAUUUUAUCAAUAAACAGUAUGAUGUCAAUAAAAAGAAAUAAGUUCUGUAUUAUUUUCCUGUCAGUCCUACCUACAGUGAAGAUAUAUUUAUAAUCCCAAAAUGUUCUAAAAGGUACUUUCUUUCGAUCAAUACAUCCAUCAUAUAUUUAGUUCGUAACUCGUAUAUGUUUAUAUUUCCGAAAGGAAAUAAUUGUCUAAACACAGGUUUACUGCAAACCGAUGAUUUUGUAUUCGUAGUUUUCAAAGAAAGACGAAAGACAACUAAGGGAUAUUCAUAAUAAUAAAUCGAAAAAAACUGAUAAUGCAAUGACUUACAACGAUCAAAUGACAAACAACGGUAUACAAAAUAAAACAGUAAAUUAGAGACUUAAUCACAUGGUUAGAACUUUUUGUAGUACAUAAACUCCUAAAAAUAUCUUGUUUGUACUCUGUCAACUGACAACUAAAAAAGAAUAAAGACUGAGAUAAAUCUCAAAGAUAUGUUAACAUCUGUGACACAUUCUCAUCGUUACUGUUUAUUCUAUCGCACUGGGACCGGAUACGUCUUAGAACAAUGACAGCUAGUAAAUGAAUGUUUAGGCACUUGGUACUAGAAUGAACUAUAAUAUCCAUUCUUAACGUCAUUUUCAAAUUUGUCUUUCAAAUAGUCCAAUUGACAAUAGUCAUGUAAUAGUACAUAGUAAAUUGAAUCUACGAAAUAAUCGGAAAAUGAAGUGAUUAGAACAAUAAAGGUAUCAGUAGUAUUCCGAUGUUCAAAACUCAUAAAUCAAUAGAAAAAAACAAAUCCGGGUCACAAACCAAAACCGAGGGAAGCGCAUCAAAUAUACGAGGAGAAUGACGACACAACAUUAAAAUGUAACAUACACAGAAACGAACUAAGCAUUAGAUUAUAUCCGAUGAGAAUAACAAAUAUAACAUCAAAACUAAAUACAUGAAUUUGGGAUAGAAAAGUACCAUGACACGUCUUAUUAAUAAUGUGAAUUGACACUCAAAUAUGAAAAAUUGUCGUUUAAGACUAAAAGUCUCGACAAUUAAUUGUGUUGGUCAUUAAAUGAAACCACUUAAUUAACAAUAAGUUUGGUUCACAUAAUUAUCAUAUUAAGAAAAGUUAUUACACAUUUAUUGAUAUUUAGGUUACAUAGGUAUUUAGGUAAUGCAACGUUAAAUACUAGUGUGUAAGAGGCUUAGCGAUAUGAGACCAGGUUUAAUCCGCCAUUUUCUACAUUGAAAAUGCCUGUACCGAAUCAGGAAUAUGACAUUUCUUGUCCAUUCGUUUUUUAUGUGUUUUGUCAUUUGAUUUUGCAAUCUGAUUCGGAGCUUUCCGAUUUGAUUUUCCUCUGAGUUCAGUGUUUUUCUGAUUUUACUUUUUUAUGACUUUUUUUGUUUCUUUGGUUCUUAUAACGUGACUAUGUACUUUAAAAGAUCAUGUCAGUAUGUUAUUGUUCUAUAUGUCCUUAUGUUAUAUUUCUAUUAUGAAUUAGAAAAUACGUUGAACCACAAACGUCAAAUCAUUCAAUCGAGUAGUAAAAUGAAAUAUUUGUGGAUUCUUAUAAAUUCUACAGAGCUUUUGGACUAUUAUAAAUCUCGGUCUAUUUCUGAAACUAAUUCUUACAUACUUUGGAUUGUUUAACUCUAUAUACUUACAUUAUCAGUUUAAAAUUUUAGAGUUGUUUUGUAUAAACAUUGAACGACAAAGAUAUGUGACGUAUAAAUUUUCUGACGUCAGACUAGAAGUAAUGAAUUUGUUUGUAGAUAGAUGUUUCUGUGUUCUGUUAAAUUGUUCCUUUUAAAAUUGUUACACGAUGAUGACUACUGUACCCAUAUUUUGACUAUUUUAUUUAUUAUGUCUGUUAAGUUCACGCAUCAUUGUAAAUAUAACGAAAUUUGAUGAGACUUUCAACAAAGUGAGAGGUUAAGCGCUAUAAAACCAGGUUUAAUUUACCAUUUUCUACAUUUGAAAAUGCCUGUACAAAGUCAGGAAUAUGACAGUUCUUGUCCAUUCGUUUUUUAAGGUGUUUUGUCAUUUGCUAUGUGAUUAGUGACUUUUCGAUUUGAUUUUCCUCUGAGUUCAGUAUUUUUGUGAUUUUACUUUUUUGUUCAUCCGUAUAAAAUAUGGAUAUGAUAUGAUUGCAAACGAGAAAAUUAAUAAUAAUGACAAAUUCAGAUUUGACCAAAUAAGGUUGACAUUAUUAGUCAUCGUAAAAUUCAUCUGAUCAUUCUCAAGGAUAAAUAACGUGGAUAAAAUUGAGGUCAUACUGCUGUAAGAUAUGGUCAUUGUAUAAAAAAGACUUUAACUUAAUCGGUAAAGAUAUAUCUGAAUGUUUCUUUCGUAUUACAACGACGGCUGUAGAUAUACAUUUUCCUUAAAGGCUUAAAUAUAAACCAAAUGUUUGUUAAUUAUUGGUACGAACUGAAUUCCCUUGAAAUGUCGUAACAUCGGAUGUAAAUGGACAUUGUUGAUUGGAAUUUGUUCUUUGUCCGUAAUGUACUUGUUUUACAUUGAUAAUCUUAUUUAUUGUUGUAAUCACAAGUACCCAGGAAUUUGCAUUUUUAUCUGUUUGGAUAAGGAGAAAUAAUGGGAAAGCAUGAUCUGUAUCUGACAACGUCACAAUCAAUUCUUAAGUCCACUGCAAUUUACAUAAUCAUUUAUUAUGACUUAUAUACAGCCAGUGCAAUAUGCUUAGUGGAGCUUGUAUAGAAUAACUUCAUAUUUUAACAUAUGAUAGCAUAUCAGGUGUUGCUAGAAAACCCAUCCUGAAGCCAAAAAAGUUUUCGUUAAAAGAGAAAAACAUCAUAGAUAACAGGAAAAAAAUAAGACAUUAAAUGUCAUCAUACAAAAUUCAAAUAUAAAUACAUGUUUUAAAAACAUGUCAAGCUUUUAACAAUUGGACAAUUUCACCCUUGAUUCGACAUCCGAUAGACAAAUACUUUGGUAGAAAUCAUACAAUUUAAACACUGAACUGAACCACAAAAUAUGUUUGGAAGUUAAUUCCUUAAAAUCAUAUCUAUACAAAUCGUGCACGCUUUAUAAAAAAGGGGAGACAAUUAUAAAGAUUAGACCUAUGUUUUCCCCGUUUGAAUGGUUUUACACUAGUACUUUUGGGGCCCUUUAUGGCUUAUUGUUCGCUGUGAACCAAUUCUUCGUGUUGAAGGCCGUCGUUGACCUACAAUAGUUUACUUUUAUAAGUUGUAAUUUGGAUGAGGUGUCUCAUUGGCACUCACACUACAUCUUCCCAUAUCUACCUUUUGAAAAUUUUAACAAUAUGAAACAACAGAACUAUGAAUAUAUAUUUCUAAAUACUACAAUGUACUUUAUUUAAGGUUAAUAAAUUCACUUGUACUUGUUUAAAGUUCAUUUGGAUGUGGAUAUAUGACAAUACCUAACAAAGCUACAUGUAUAUGUUUAACUUUGGUCCACUUUUGUUUUGUUUUUUGUCUUUUAUUAUUUGGUUAAAAAACGGAACAUGUUCCGUUUAUUUUUUAUAUCAAUUCAGAAUUUUAUUACGUCAGAAUGUAUUGACCUUGCUUUAUUCUGAUUGAACUUAAAAUAUUACAUUCGAAUGUUCAAUGAUGUUCGAAUUAACAUGCAAAUAUAGGAUAUAAACAAAACAGUAAUAUUUAUAUAAAAAGGAAGAUGUGGUAUAAUUGCCAAAAAGAGACAACUCGCCACAAGUGACCAAAUGACACAGAAAUCAACACUAUAUGGUGCCAUAAUAUAUAUAUAUAUAUAGGUGUAAUACCACCAAAUCAUGGUACGUCACAUCCGAAAGUAGGUCGAAAAAAAAUUCCCUUGAAUUUGACAGUUGUAGGUAAUUAAUCCUACAUUUUAUUGCAGUAAAACCAUUUUUGUGUCAUAAACAUAUGUCUUGGGUAUUUCAAAACACCAUUAUUUUUUAUUUGGGUUUUCUAUAGAAAAUUUUGUAAUCUUGAGGUUACAUGGUGACUAAACCUUGUACACAGGUAAAAUAAGUGGAGAAAUUUGAUUGUUUAACUUCCAAUGAUGGUUAUUUUCUUAUAUGCAAUGAAAUGUUAUGUGAAUUUUUUUCUAUAGAACUGGACAGGAUAAAACUUUACUCAUGCCAAGUAUUUCUUUAUUUGAAACAAGGAUAAAUUCUGCACAUUUUUUUUGAAAAGUGCAAAUUUAACAAAGACUAAUAGGGGAAAAUCAAUGGUGGUAUUACACCUAUAUAUAAAAGAAGAUGUGGUAUGAUUGCCAAUAAGACAAAUCUCCACAAGAGACUAAAUGACACAAAAGUUAACAAAAUAAUAAUUUACUAAAGGUUACCAUACGACAUUCAAAAAUGAGUGAACCCAAUGUAAUGCUUGUUCACUGACAUUUAACAAUAAUAUUCAACCUCCUACGAUACAAAAUUUCUAUCUUUUUUUUAUCCAUUUGAAUAUAUAACAGAUUGAAAUAAGAAAUUAGUCAUAAUAUCCAUAUUUGAGUAAUGAUAAAGAAUUUCAAGAUGAUUUAUUUUACUAAAAUUACCUUGUUGAAAACGUUAUGAAAUUGCCAAUGACUGAGUUAGAUUCUUUGACAAGUAAAUCAAAAUCAAAGAAAGAAGCAGUGUAAAGGAAAACAAGAUGCGUCGACUUAUAGCAACAGUUAAUUACUGAUGGUUAUAUCUCAAAUACGACUGAGGCUAUCAUUGCCUAGUUGUAGAAAACAAUUUACAAAUAGGUGGUAUGUGAACAACUUGUUUGUUCAUUUUUGAGUCAAUUGCUAAAAGUACAACUAAAAACUCAUCUAUAUUAAAAUAUCAAGUGGUAUUUUUAUACUUAGUGUAUCUAUCUUUUUAUCAACACUAUGUUUUGUCAUCAGUUUCAAAUAUGGGAGAAUAGUAGACUGUCUUAAUUUUGCAAAUUAAGACCUUUGGCAAGUAUUCCUUUACUUUUUUUGACAUCUAUCUGAGUUUUAAAGUUGAAGCCCAGAUUAUGAAUUUCAAUUUGAAAUGAUAUUGAAUAUAAUGAGCUAAAUUUUUAUUUUGAAAUUUCAGACAGAGAAGUUGUGCAUGCCAUCAUGGAACAAUUAAUGAUCAACAGUAAUGGUCAAGAUACUGAGGUUAGAUAUUUAAACUGAUCUCCCUUUUCUUAAUUGUCUGAGUUAUUUUCCUUUCCUGAGUUAUCCCCAUGAUCUAAAUAUUCAAGUUUAUUCCCUUUUCUGAGUUGUCCCCUUUUUCUUAAUUAUCUCCCAUUAUCUGAGUUAUCCCUGUUAUCUUAAUUAUCUGAGUUAUCUCCUAUUAUUUUAAUAUCUGAGUUAUUUCCCUUAUCUGAGUUUUCCCCAUUAUCCUAAUUAUCUGAGUUAUCUCUUAUCUUAUUUACUUCCCUAAGCUGAAUUAUCCGAGUUAUUUCCCUAAGCUGAGUUAUCUCCCUUUAUCGUAAUUAUCUGAGUUAUCCCCAUUAUCUUAAUUAUCUGAGUUAUCUUCCAUUAUCUUAAAUAUCUGAGUUAUCUCCCAUUAUCUUAAUUAUCUGAGUUAUCUCCCCUUGUCUUAAUUAUCUGAGUUAUCUCCCUUGUCUUAUUUUUCUGAAUAAUUUCCCUUAUCUGAGUUAUCUUCCAUUAUUUUAAUUAUCUGAGUUAUUUCCCUUGUCUUAAUUAAUUAUGAGUUAUUUCCGUUAUCUGACUUAUCUGCAUUAUCUCAAUUAUUUCCCUUGUCUUAAUUAUCUGAGUUAUUUCCCUUAUUUGACUUAUCCAACAUUAUCUUAAUUAUCUAAGUUACCUCCCUUUCUUCAAUUAUCUGUGUUAUUUCCCUUAUCUGACUUAUCUACAUUAUCUGACUUAUCUACAUUAUCUUAAUUAUCUCCCUUGUCUUAAUUAUCUGAGUUGUUCCGUUAGAGCUAUCCAGUAAAAAUUAUCAGGGGGGGUGGAACGCCACUUAUUUUUGACCCCCACUAUGGAAAAGAUUAAAAAAAAUACACCCCACCUAGAACAUGUAUUUUCUUCCCAAGACCCCCUACCUAGAGAAAAAAAAUAAAAAGUUAGCUAGUUUUUUAAAGUAUACAAAAAUUGUUGCAUCCUGUCAAAUAAUGUAAAAUUUUUGGUUUAUCUAUUUCAGUGCAUCCAAAAAGGAGGCCCCCUGCCCCCCCCUAAAUCCGCAGCUGGUCUCAAUGGCAAUCAUACCACAUCUUCUUUUUAUACUAGCUAUGUUGCUAUUAAAAUAUAAAAUAAACAUAGUAAACAAUGUUAUGGAGCCAGCAGACGACAGAUUGCAACAUGACGGCAAUAGCUCACAGUGACCGAAAAAGGGGGGUGCGAUUUUCAAUUAUGGCCAAUUUUAUUUUUAAAACUGUCAAUAACAUUUUCAGGUUACGACAUAUUUCUUCAGGUGGGGAACUGGUUGGCACCAACCAUUUGAUGUUUCAGAGUUUAGUUUGAGCCAUAAAAUAUUUUUUGGUAGGCGCACAAUGUAAUUCUUUUUUUUUAUUUUUUUGUAUUUCUUAUAUACAUUUUUUUUCAAUAGGCACAAUGUUGAGGAAGAUGAUAUACUCUCCUGUGUAACAAGGCAUAUCUUUUCCGCAGAAAAUUAGCCAUUUUUUUCCUUCAAUACCAUCCCACGCAACAUGCGCAAUAAAAAUCUAUAUUGUGUCACUCGUGCCAAAUAUAAAUAUAUUUUUUAUGGACGCGCAUAGUUUGGAUGUCACCCACACAUAUUUGUUUGUGGAGACGGUAUACAAUGGAGAGGGUACUUGAAAGUUUGUUAUAAACUGUAUGCAAUAAAAUAUUAUUUGGACAAAAAAUUGCAAAGAAUUGGCCAGUCUCACCUAUUAAGUGACAUAUUUCUUCUGCAAGGAAGCAGAUUUAAGUACAGCAAAUUUCUGCCAAAAAACUCUCAAUUUCUAUGAAUAUACAAUAACUUCUUCCAACCGCACAGAUAUUUAGUUAACACUUAUUUACAAUGUUUAAACUGGUACUGAUUGCCUGUUCAUGUUCAUUGGUUUUUUUUACAUAAAUUUUGGUCUUCGUCGAUACCAUACUUAUUCCAGACGUUCCGUUCAGAGGACAUUUCAGGCAAUUCCUCUGCAUUCUUGUAUCAUUAUAUCUUCAUCACGUUACAAGAAUAACAGUAUAGAGUACCAUUAAUUCAUAGAACAAACAACAAAAUCGCUGAAGAGAUCAUGGUUUACAAAAUGUCAAAUGAGCCAAUAGACCAAAAAAAUGACAAGUGACAUGUUAAGCGUCUUUUAUGGAGACAAAAAACUAUUAUUCUUAAAAGUCUUUGGGUCUUUCAAUCGAAAUAAUAGCGAAGCUAACUAAAUGAGAAUUAUUAUAAGGGCUAAAUCUCGUCUUACUAGCCAAAUUUAACAAAAUUUAAAGUUGUUUAUAAAAAAAAUAUAUAUCAUGAAUGAUGCUUAAUUACGUUUUCGGUGUAUCAGUUAGACUCAUGGUUUUAUUAUUACAAUAGGAAAACACCCGAGACGUGAAAUCGCAUGGUUCUAUUAAUCAUUGAGGUAACAUCCGAACGUCCCAAAAAUAUAUAGGUGCUCCUAUUAUUGGAGGAACAUUACACAGUUGUGUACACACACAUGGCGGCAUGGAACACGAUCGAGAAAUUCAUUUGACGAUAUCUAAACGUUUCGUAACGAAGGUGAAACUAUCGUGCGCCACGUGGGCGCUUACAUUUGUCACUGUAGCGCCAUUUCUUGUCAAUAUGCGCUAUAGCGCAGGGGGCACGUCAUUCCCGAUCACUGGUUUGACAAGAACACAAACGGACGCUUAAAAUUAGUGCGUCUGCCAACUUUAUUUGCAGUCGGAUGACCUUUUCAGGAAGAAUCUUCCUUCAUAACAGGGGGAACAAUAUGUUUAACCUAUCAUUCAGAAACCCCCACCAACAGAAAUGAAUUUAAAUCGGGACCACCACCCUCCAGAAUACAAUUAUGUUGAUAACCCCCCACCUAUGGAAAAAAAUAUCGUCGGCGUUCCGCCCUCCUAGGUAACUUUUACUGGAAUAGCCCUUAUCUGAGCUAUCCCUCAUAUCUUAAUUAAUUGAGUUAUCUCCUUAUCUUUAUUACUGAGUUAUUUCCCUGGUCUGACAUCCUCCAUUAUCUGAGUUAUCCACCACUAUUUAAUUAUCCGAUGUGACUUUCCCUUAUCAAUUAUCUUAUUUUAUCUGAGUUAUCUCCCUCGGUCUAAUCAUCUGAGUUUGUCCUUUACCUGAGUAUAUCCCUCAUAUCUGAAUUAUCUGAGUUCUUCCCUUAUCAGAGUUAUCUGCCCCCUUGGUGUGGUUAAGAUUCUAAUAAUGAAUCAGAACGAAACAUAUUGUAAAAACAGUUGGAAUAAUAUUUGAUUCAAUCACAGUGUAUAGUAUUUAGGGAGCUACCAUUUGAUUUUUAUGGGGGGCUAGGAUGAAAACUUUUGUCCUGCAUUUUUUUUUAGCUGUAAUCUCAGUCCUGCCUUUUAUUUUGCACUCUGUUCGGUCCUGUUUUUUUUUUUUAGUUUAUUCCUGACUUUUUUUUUUACCUAAAUUGUCGUCCUGACUUUUUUUUUUACCUAAAUUGUCGUCCCUGACUUUUUUUUUUUGCAAGUGUCUCAUCCUGCCUUUUUUUUUACUCAAAACUCCUGUCCUGCUAUUUUUUCAAAUUUCAUCCUAGCCCCCCCCCCCAUAAAAAUCAAUGGUAGCUCCCUUAGCGAAUAUUUUUUCCAACAUAUGUGAAAUGUAUCUGAUUGAUUAAGUCUGUACUAUAUCUCAAAUUGAAGCAGGCAAAUUUGUAAUUAUCCUAGUGUCUGACUUGAAUAUAUAUUUAUUUGCCUUCAGCUUCAAAAAAAAUAUGAGAUGCUUCAAGACUUAUACGCUACCAAAGUUGUGACAUAAUAUUACAGACUGCAAAGGUCAUUAAUUACUUAAAUAUAAGACUCACCAAGUUUAUAUUAUAAAUGACAUUGAAUUAUGAAUAGUAAAUUACAAAUAUGUGACUUAGAUUCAUUAAUUUUUAUGGUCAUAUGGAAACCACAAUUUAAAUACUUGACCAUUUUAUUAUUUGUUGGAAACAAAUUAUGAAACUAAGAAAUUAGUCCUGUCAAAAAGUUCCUUCUGCCUGACAACCAUGAAAAUACAGACUUUUAAACCUACAAUUUAUUGUAUUAGCAGCCUAUACAUGGUAAAUAUUUCAUAUUUAAAUUUUGAACCAAUCAUUAUUAUCAGUAGGUUGUUUCAAAUUAGUCAGGAAUUCAGAGUAUAAUCUGGAAAUUUCACUACCAAUGAAAAACAAGGACAUGUUAGAUUUGGUCAUGCUUGCAAUUACCAAACUUCAGAGUUUUGUAAUUUAUAUGCUUUGAAGACCACAAUGUCUGUAAAACUGGAAUUUGAACAACACUGAAAAAUAUUUGUGCAGCAAUCAGACAAUUUAUCACAAUGAAUUUAUAUCUUGUUUAUUUCCAGUAUAAAUGGUUAAAAGCAGAUAGAGCCUAGACCCAACAAGGUCCAAUUAUCAGCAAAGAAAAGGUGGACAAAGACAUGAAUUCAAGUUUUGGUAGAAAAACAACAAUAAAGUAAAAAUGAUUGAACUUAUAGAGUGUAAAGGUAUAUACUGUAAAACUACAUGUGAACUUAUUUCUAGAAAAAUUUAUGUAUGUGACUUUUCAUGAGUUGAAAUAUAACACAAAUACUAAUCGUGGCAUAUAUUAUAAAAAAGAAGAUGUGGUAUGAUUGCAUGAGACAACUAUCACAACAAAGACCAAAUGACACAGACAUUAACAUAAGGUCACGUACAGCCUUCAACAAAUGAGCAAAGCCAUACCACAUAGUCGGCUAUUAAGGCCUCCGAUAACAUGUUAACAUUGAUCUUUCCCUAUUUUAAAAACAAUCAAGUAAAUUAUGAAAAUAGUGGAAUUAAAAUCGCCAAGAACUUGGUUAGAAAGGGUAAGCAUGAAUUUAAAUAUGCACACAAAACAAUCUAGUUCAGGGCUCCAGAUAAGAAUUCACAAAUUGGGGUUUUUACCCACCAUUUUUUUACGUAAUUGGGUAAUAAAGAUUUUUAAUUGCAUUAUCAAUUUCAGUUCACCUCUCAAGCAAAUAUCAAAUUGGGUUUUUAACUAGUAUUUUUAGCUCCUUUAUGUAUUGAGUUUUUCAUCAACACAAUCACAGAACUCAUCUCAGAUUUCCCCACCCCCCCCCCCCCUGACAUGUAUAUACCUUUAAUAAGGUAUAUAGUGAAAAAAAAUUCUGAGACGUGCCUGUGAACACAAUAUUUGAAUAUUGCAGGCAUGUAACAACACAUUAUACAUACCUUAGAUGUUUUCCCAUAUUAAACUAUAUGUGCAUGCUGUUUUAUUAGUUUAUUCACUGACGAGUCAAUUGUACAUUUUAUUUCAUGUCCGCGUUUUAAACGUUCUUUCCAUACAGUUUUUUAUUUUUCUCACAACUUAUAUAAACGGCACGGAGGCAUGGUGUCACCAUAACAAGUUUUAAAAACAGUAACUUAUAACUUUCACAUCCCAAAUGAUCACCCUACAGUUAGUCGCGGGUAGGCUGGCCGGCUAAGUGUUUAGAUUUUUAUGUUGAUAUUUAGGUGCGUAAGAAAGUUUUGCCAGUACUUGUCACCUAUUGUGUCAGCACAUACAUUUUAAAACAAAAAAUUAAUAAGUAGUCCCAGAUUUGAUUGCAUGUCUUAAAAAACACUAGUACUGUACCUGUUGAAGACAACAAAAAUUCCAACAGGGACCCAUUUCAGCUACUUGAUGCAGGGCUCUUAUUCAUUGGAGAACGAUAAGAAGCAUUAUUCCAAUUAUAAAUAUCUAAAAUAGAUUAUACGCUACCGACCAGUAAUCAGAUAAGGUAAUAACGCAAACAGAUAGCGAGUAAAAAGCAUUAGGAACUCAUGGUUUUGCAUAUAUUGGGUGUUUCCUUUGAAUACAUGGGUUAUUGACCCUGCAAUGGCAAUUGCAUGGAGUUUUAAUUAUUUUUAUUGCGUGAUCACGCAAUACGCAGCUUUAUCUUGGAGCUCUGCUAGUUUACAGUUUAUUUAAGAUGCGUAGUUAAAAAAAGAGCCUCAACAAAUUCAGAUUUUCAAUAUUCAAUUAUAUGUUGAUGGAAAAAUUACAUUUUAGAGGAUAAAAUGAUGUAGGUCUUGAAAUAUGAUAUACUGGACCAAUAAUACCUCAAAAAUGAAGGAUUGCAGAUAUUAUAAGUGGUAAUUAAAAAGUAAUUGUUAUGUAUAGGAAUAGAAGAAGAAUUUAAAGGUAUAUGUCAAUGUGCAAAAACCCAACAACUAAAUAGUUACCAAAUGAAAUAUAUGAGGGCAACGAUUUAAGCACUUCAACAUACAUAUGUGCUUUUUAGUUAUAUAAAAGUUUGAACAAAAAAUAAAAAAAAGCAAAAAAAACCUGCACAUUUCUAUACGAAAAUUAUAUUUUAUAUACCAUUGAGAACAGCGUCUCGAGACAAAUUAGACUUAGAAAAAAAAUGUAAUUGUAAAUGACAAACAAAGAACGAAAAAAGCUGGGAAUAUAUCUUUGAAUAAAGACUAAAAAAUGUUAAAAGCAAUUAAUUCUGUAUUCUUUUAACUCAAUUCAGGUUUCUUUUUAAGAUUUACAAGGUUGACAACAAAGCGCUGUAAGACAAAAUGACGAAAAAUAACAUACAAUUAUUUAAUUUUCAGUUUCAGCAAAUACGAAGUAGACGGAGAACGAAGUCUUACAGGCAAUGUUAAACGUAGCCAAGAAAAAUGAAUCCAUCAGCUUCAGAGGAAAAUUAAGUCUGGUCUGGACUCCGUGAGAAAGCUGCAAGGGCCAACAGAUUUAGGUAUAGUUGUGAUAAAAGAUCAGAUGCCUUGGUUUAUUUAACACCGCAAGUAAACCAAAUAAUAUUUCGCCCAGAGAGUUUAGUCACGCUACUUACAUUAAUAAAAAUGUUGUGAAUACUUUAAUGUCCAAAGUCCAUCCUAUUUUGGGAUCAAACAGUUAAUAAUAUACUAUUCAGAAGACAAGAACUUGUUUUUGUGAACUAAAAAAAAUAAUUUAAAGAGAUAAAGUUUUAUAAAAAAUAAUACUCUAGAAAACCAAAUAACUUGAAAAACACAUUAUAAACAUUAGUUCAUAAGUGCCUCUGUAUAAAAUAAUUCCAGCUAAAAGCACGUCAAUUUUUCUGGCCAUUUCUGCAGCCAUCAUUAUAUGUUUUCUUAAAAGGUGUAGAUACCACAUUGAUUUCUCCCUAUUAGUCUUUGUGUACAAUUUGGCACUUUCAAAAAAAUCUGUAGAAUGUAUCUUUGUUUCAAAUAAAGAAAUACUUUGGCAUGAGUAAAUUGUUAUGCCUGUCCAGUACUAUAGAAAAAAAUCAACAUACCAUUUCAUUUGCAGAUAAGAACAAUAACGAUCACUGGAAGUUAAACCAAUCAAAUUUUUCCCCUUAUUUUACCUGUGUACAAGGUUUAGUCACCAUGUAACCUCAAGAUUACAAUAUAUUCAUAGAAAUCCAAAUAAAAACUAAUGGUGCUUUGAAAUACCCCAAGACAUAUUUUAUGACACAGAAAUUUUUAUGCAAUAAAAUGUAGGAUAUUAAUUACCUACAACUGUCAAAUUCAAGGGAAUAUUUUUUCGACCCUAUUUUCAGUAUACAACCGGAGAUGUGACAUACCAUAAUUUGGUGGUUACACCCUAAAUUGUCAGUUCUUCACACUGUAUUUUUGUGUGAAACUAUAAACAGAGGUUUUAAUCAACCUUCACUUAUUAUUGCAGUUGAUAUCAUAAUUAUGAUUAAUAAAAGUGCAUAACACCCGAACUGGCGCAUUUCGUUGUAUUAAUUGAUUGUUCCGUUAACUAUUGAUUACAGUGAAUUCAUUAUUCAUAGGAUUGACUAUUGAGGAAAGACUAUUUUCAUGAUUAUUUGAUUUCUGUUUUGAUAAAGUUCUGCUUAAAGUCUUUAAAAACAUUUGAAUAUGGUUGAACAUUUGAAAUUACUUUUCACCUUUAUCCUAAAAUCAUGAAAAUUGAUAAUCCCUCAAUAACAAUAAACCAGAGUAUUUAAGGAUGAUCUAAGGUAAAUUUAAAUAAAUCAAGAAUCAAAAUUGAUACUUUAAGCUGAAAGUAUUGAAAAGAUCAAACUAAGCUAAAAAUAUGUGAUAGGUCAUGGAGGCUCCUUUUUGAUAUAUUUGAUAUAAAAAAUGGCGGGAAAAGGCUGAACGUGGACCUUUUACUUAAUUUUGCCAUUGUAUUAUUGGGUCUCAAAUCAAAAAGAGAGAAAAUCAAGAAUCCUCUUAAAUUUUGUAAAAUGACCUUUUAUGAAUUAUAAAGUUCUUAUCUUAAAAGAAAAAUAGGUGUUAUGGAGGCAAAAUAUUUUUACAUUCAUUUGUAUCGUAUGACAAACACUGAGGAGUCCGAAACAUUUGACACUUAUUCCAAAAUCUUCACCUAAGAUACAUCCUUAAUAUUUCUAAAAUUUUUAAAAAUGAUAUAUUACGAGCGUUUUCCUCCUGAACAUGUACCGCGAAUAUCAAAUCUUUGAAAACAGUGAAGAAUGAACCUGUCACACAAGAUCAGUCAUCGAUUAUCAUCACUAAGGAAGAAUGAUGAAGAACGCUUAGAGACUGGAAAAACUGAAAUUAAGAUGAACGAGUGCCCUAAUUACUGAGGUGUACCAAUCAAGAUUUGAGGGUAGUAACAAAAUGAGAGUCACUGCGGUUAAAUUCAGAAGAGCAUAAUAAAAAAUUUUUUAAAGACUUUUAAGAAUUUCCAAGAUUUACAGUUCUUUAUACAUCCUUGGCUUUCAAAUGUUCUGCUUUGGCCUUUCUGAUGAAGGUUUAUCCAGAAAAGCCCUCUGGUAACAUUGAAUUUUUACAGUCUUAUUUUUUUUUUCCUAGUAGGGAAGCACAGGGAAUCAUCUAGAAAGAUUUGCCAAAGCCCUUAAAGUUUUUAGCAAUUUCACCCACAGCUUAAUUUAUAAUAUUAAGACAUUACAUAUGAAGCUGCGUGGUAUUAGAAAUUACCUAAUCCAAAUUGCAUGUAUACUAUGUACUAUAGUUUUAAGGAUGUACAUGGUUGAGGUUAGGUGAAAAUUAAUUACAUCAAGAAUUUAAAAUUGGUUUAUAAGCUGGUUAGAGCAAUCGUUAAGGAUAAAAUUAAGCUAAAAAAAUGGUUAGGUCAUGGACCUCCUUUUCGAGAUAUUUGAGAUUUUAAAUAUGGCGGGAAAAGCUGACUCGGAACUUUUACCCUUAUAUUGCAUUGGUAUAUUUGGGUCUCAAAACAAAAAGAAAGAAAAUCAAAGAAUCUUCUAAAAUUUUGGUAAAUGACUUGUCAUGGAGCUAUUAAGUCUUAUAUAAAAAAAUAAUUAGGUGUCAUGGGCAAAUAUUUUACUUGUAUNNNNNNNNNNNNNNNNNNNNNNNNNUAAAACUACUUUACCGAUGUUUACUGCUCUUUUUCAAAAUAACAAACUUUUUAAAAAGAUGGAUAUAAAUUGAUAGGACAUAAACAACUAAACCAAACAUUGUAAAAAAAGCAGACAAAAAGUUAGAUCUGUCAUUAGCUUUAGGGGCCAUUGAAAAGUUUGGGGGGGGGGGAAAUGAUAGUUCUCUCUAGAUUUUUCAUACAUUUAAUAUUGGUACCAAUUUUUUCUGCCAUACUGUAAAAAAAAAAUAUAAAAAGAAUUUUAUAGGAUUUUCAAAAAUGGCUUUUGAAGCUAUAUGUAUUAAAAUAAUGAAGAGAAAAGUGUGGCUAGUGGGGAAAUCUGUAUAAUGGAAUAACAUGGGAUCCUGAAUUUUUUAUAAAAAACAAAAAUAGGAGCAGCAAACAUUCUUAAUACUUGGUAUUGUGUGCAUUUAUUAUUUUGAUUGUGAUUAAUGAAUGUGAGACAAAUUAUUCCAAUUUCAGGAAAUAAUGCAUUCAAAUAUGGAAAUGAAACUGCAAUUUUCACAAUUAUAAAAACAUCAAAAUAAAGUCUUCAUUUUCAAUAUCUAAAAAUAGGAAAUAGGUAGGAUGUCUAAUAUGUCAGAAAGACAAACUUUUUGUUCAGAGAAAGACCUCAGACUCAUCUGUUAUGAGAUAUCAAAACUAUAAAUGCUAUUUUCAUACGUUGAAAUUUAUAGUGUACUGACUUAAAAGCCUUGUUUAUUUUCAAUGCUCUUUAAAAAAAUCAAAUCGUUUCUCAACAAAUCUAUAUUCUAUACAAGAUUAUGUGCACGGAAAUUUUGUCAACACAGAGCAAUCAAUGACUGUCAAAUAUCAUGCUCUUUAAUAUAAUUGAAAUGGGAGAAGUAUUAUACACCAAGUACACAUUGACUUUCAAACUGUUAUGCUUCCAAGCAAAUCCUUGUUUCAAGUAACAUUGACAACUAUACUUUUAUCUCACAAUAUUACUUCAAAAGCAUUGAUGAAUCUCUAUUUUAACACAUUGUUGAUAUUAUCAAGAUUUUUGAUUUUAUCUAGUUCCACAUAAGAAAAUUUCCACCUCAUGCAAAAAUAUGAAAAUAAUUGAUGACUUUUGAGAACAGCUAUAUAAAAAAGAAGAUAUGGUAUGAUUGCCAAUGAGACAACUAUCCACAAAAGACCAAAAUGACACAGACAUUAACAACUAUAGGUCACUGUACGGCCUUCAACAAUGAGCAAAGCCAAUACCGCAUAGUCAGCUAUAAAAGGUGUUCCUUAACUUAGACCUAACAUCUUUAUUCAUUUUCCGAAACAAUUUAAGUUUUGAUGCUCAAUUGUGACUAGUUGUAAAAAUAUCAGACACUAAACCUAUCAGCAUGUUUCAUUUCAUUUGAAAUCAGAGAAACAAUUUAAUAGCCAUGUCAAAAUAUUUAAAAUAAAUGUCUUCUAGCGAAUGCUGAAUAUUGCGAUUGGAUUUCAAGUCUCUAAUUCAAGCUGAGAAAUUGUAGAAAUUGAGGGAAAUUACAACUCUUGUGAAGUUCUAUACCACUGUAAUGGAUUUUCUAAUAAAAAGCUUUAAAAAUCAAAGGCUUAUAAAAAUUCUAUAUUAUUGUGAUGGUAUUUUGAAGGCAAGAUAUAUAAACUAUUGUAGUUUUGAAAUGAAAAUGUUUGAUAUCUGAGCACUUGAUUUUGGGAUACAAUACUCUGAUAUAAUCAUGAUUAUUUAAAGAACUUUUAGUGAGCAAUCUAAUAUACACUAAAUCACCUAUAUACAGAAGGAAAAUUUUAAAUUGACCUAAUGGCAUUGUUUUUUUUCUCUGUCCUUUUUUAUGACCUUAAGGAGGUAGACCUAGAAUAAGGGAAAUAACUCUUAAAAUCAUCGGUACGUUUGUGUCAACCAUUUUCAAAAAUAAAUACUAAGCUUCUAGAUUACAUAGAUUAUUUUCAAUCUGUUUCAGGUAAAUGCUUAAAAUACAUUGAUGAACUUGACUUUUACAAACGCUUAACUGAUUUAAAGAGUUAUCUCCCUGAACCAAAUUACUCAAACUAACAAGAAUGUGUCCAUAUGCAAAUUGCACUAUGUUCAUUGGACGGUGAAAUUGGGGUCACAACUCGAAUUUGGCAUUCAUAUUAAAAAGUUCAUAUCAUAAGGAACAUGAGUACUGAGUUUCCAGUUGAUUUUACUUCAACUUCAUCAAAAACUAUCUUGACCAAAAACUUCAACCUGAAGCUGGACAAAUGGAUGGACCGACAGAGGAACAGACCGCAAAACAUUAUGCUCCUAAUUUUUACUUUUAUGGAUACUUGAUUUUGUUGUUUUAAAAAUUCUGCAUUAAGGGAGAUAACUCUGUAAAGUCAGCUAAACGUUUUAAUUACACUGUGUUGUAAAGGGAAUAUGAAGCUUCUCACUGAUCAAAGUUGGUGUUUGUCAAACUGCUAUAUAAUCAGUGUAAUUUUUCUGACAAAACAGUUGGUUCAAAAUUUUUGUUAAAGGGUCAAAGUAAAUACAUUGUCAAAAUUUUAUGAAAAUUAAACGAGCCAAAUUGAUUUUAAUGAAAGUGUUGGAUACCACCUUAAACCUUCCACAUUAGGGUCAGCUGAAGCAUGCCUACAGGUGCAGGAUUUUCUCUAUGUAUUGAAGACCCAAUGAUGGUCUUUGGCUGUUAUCUGAUCUUUGGUCGGGUUAUUGUCUCUUUGAAACAUUCCCCAUCUCCAUUAUCAAUUUUACAUAAAUUUGUGGUUAACCUAUAUCAACAAAACCAACAAGAAAAAGAACACAUCCAAUAAAAAAAAAUCAAAUUAUCUAGUAAUGACGAAAAAUUGUACAAAACUGGACAACUUCACACUUUUAUUAGAUUUCAUUUCAUUAUUCUGAAGAGAGAAAUGGAGAAAAUAAUAUGAAAACAUUAAAGACUCUCCUAUCCCAUAAACAAUGUCUCAAUUUCUUAAAGUGGUAGUCUCAAAAUGUAUUAUUUUACCCCAGCUGAAUAUACCAUGCAUAGAUGACCAUCCUUUCUAAUGAAUAAAUAAAAUACACAUACAAUGUACAAUGGUUCAAUAUGCAACACACUCAAACAAACAGAAGAUGACAAACAUAUUAAUUAUCACAUAAAAUAAUAUUCAUUUCAACAAAAUCUGUUGUUUUGAGAUGGUCCACAAUGAACACCAAUACAUCAUUCUGUCACAGCAACAAGAUUUAAUAAACUCCCAAUAUGCAAUAUAUCAGGGAUGGAGAUAGCUAUAAGAAUUAAGUGAUUUUUGAGUAUUAUUAUUUUCCUAUACAUUUUAUAGUCUAUGACUAUCCUUACUUGUCACAGUUUCAUUAUAUAAGAUAAAUUCGUGAGAAAAAAAUGAAUUUAGAGUAUUUAAAUUUUCGUACUAGAUUUAAUAGUCUAUGAUUGUAUCAUUGUUACAUCAUAAGAUGUCAAAACUUCAUUAUAUACGAUAAAUGUCCAUUAUAUAUGAUAAAUGUCCAUUAUAUACGAUAAAUGUCCAUUAUAUACGAUAAAUGUCCAUUAUAUACGAUAAAUGUCCAAGAAUAAAAUGAUUUGAAGCAAAAAAUAACAAAAUAAAAAUAUGUACUGCUCCUACUAUUAGAUUUCCAUGUUAAGUGAACUGCAAAAUCUGCAUUGACAUGCUUAUUUAACGGCUCUCCUCUUGAUGAACAUAUUUACUAACAGGAUACUUGAUUUAGUGUUUUUCAUAAAUUCUGUAAAUUAUCAUAUACGAAAUUUGUAUUUUAUAUGAGGAUGGUAAAGGGUUAUUUUCGUGCAAUGUGUUUUGCCAUUUUUUUUUAUUUUUUUUUUGUCCUUUCGUGAAAAAGGUUUGUUAUUCACCGUGUUUUGUGAAAUCGGUAAAUAGAUCGUUCAUCGUGAAAUGGCAAUUUUAUUUCGCGUUCUUCUGUAAAGAUACCCUCCUUUAUGCUCCUCUUUAAUUGGCUCAGCUUUAUCCACAUAUUCAACGAAAUUAUUUCCAUACAGUAAGGGAGCUUAGUAACCAUUUGAUUUUUAUGGGGGGGCUAGGAUGAAAUUUGAAAAAAAUAGGCAGGACAGGAGUUUUGAGUAAAAAAUAAAGGCAGGAUGAGACACUUGCAAAAAAAAAAAAGUCAGGACGACAAUUUAGGUAAAAAAAAGUCAGGAUAAACUAAAAAAAAAAAGGCAGGACCGAACAGAGUGAAAAAUAAAAAGGCAGGACAGAGAUUACAGCUAAAAAAAAAUACAGGACAAAAUUUUUCAUCCUAGCCCCCCCCCCC
rnacentral:lncRNA from 1 species